rnacentral:rRNA from 1 species
CUGCGAAUGGCUCAUUAAAUCAGUUAUCGUUUAUUUGAUAGUACCUUACUACUUGGAUAACCGUGGUAAUUCUAGAGCUAAUACAUGCUAAAAACCUCGACUUCGGAAGGGGUGUAUUUAUUAGAUAAAAAACCAAUGCCCUUCGGGGCUCCUUGGUGAUUCAUAAUAACUUAACGAAUCGCAUGGCCUUGCGCCGGCGAUGGUUCAUUCAAAUUUCUGCCCUAUCAACUUUCGAUGGUAGGAUAGUGGCCUACCAUGGUAUCAACGGGUAACGGGGAAUUAGGGUUCUAUUCCGGAGAGGGAGCCUGAGAAACGGCUACCACAUCCAAGGAAGGCAGCAGGCGCGCAAAUUACCCAAUCCCGACGCGGGGAGGUAGUGACAAUAAAUACUGAUACAGGGCUCUUUUGGGUCUUGUAAUUGGAAUGAGUACAAUUUAAAUCCCUUAACGAGGAACAAUUGGAGGGCAAGUCUGGUGAACACUCAGCUAGUUCCAUUCUGCUGACGCCAGAGAUAGUAGGGCCCCGCCUUUGUACGGGCGGGGUUAUGCCUGCUAGUCGAUGCAUCCACAAACAGCGAUGGGUGGAUGCCGGCAAGGUGACCUGGUACGGGGAAGCCUAAGGGCGCGACUUUCUAAAGGGAUGGUCGAGCACGCCUAUGGUAAUCCCGUGGCGAGCCGGAGCAAUCCGGCCGUCGUAACGCGCGGAAAGGCACCGGCUGUCGCGGAGAACGCGAUGGCUCAAGGGACGUGCUGUCCCAUCCGAAAGGAUGCCUCAUACUGGAGCGCCCAUCGCGUAAAGUAUUNAGAGGGGGGGGCUUCAGAGCCCCUGGGUAAUGAUAAAACGGCCAGCAGCCGCGGUAAUUCCAGCUCCAAUAGCGUAUAUUAAAGUUGUUGCAGUUAAAAAGCCCGUAGUUGAACCUUGGGUCUGGCUGACCGGUCCGCCUCACCGCGUGCACUGGUUCGGCCGGACCUUUCCUUCUGGGGAUCCGCAUGCCCUUCACUGGGCGUGUCGGGGAACCAGGACUUUUACUUUGAAAAAAUUAGAGUGUUCAAAGCAGGCCUUUGCUCGAAUACAUUAGCAUGGAAUAAUAGAAUAGGACGUGCGGUUCUAUUUUGUUGGUUUCUAGGACCGCCGUAAUGAUUAAUAGGGAUAGUCGGGGGUAUCAGUAUUCAAUUGUCAGAGGUGAAAUUCUUGGAUUUAUUGAAGACUAACUACUGCGAAAGCAUUUACCAAGGAUGUUUUCAUUAAUCAGUGAACGAAAGUUAGGGGAUCGAAGACGAUCAGAUACCGUCGUAGUCUUAACCGUAAACGAUGCCGACUAGGGAUCGGGCGAUGUUAUCAUUUUGACUCGCUCGGCACCUUACGAGAAAUCAAAGUUUUUGGGUUCUGGGGGGAGUAUGGUCGCAAGGCUGAAACUUAAAGAAAUUGACGGAAGGGCACCACCAGGCGUAAACCUUUGCAAGCUAGCCGCAGCAACUCUGCGCCGAACAGCAGCCCGAAAGGGUGAGGUGGUCUAAAUGCCCGGGGGCGAAACCCCCCCGAACCAAAAUGCUAGUCCGCCUAUUCACAGGCGGGCGACACGCUCAAACUGCGGGAAAACCCUAAAGCUCCAGCACACCAAGCCGGCGUCGAAAGGCAGUCGGUGGCCAGGUUAAUUGCCUCGGGUAUGGUAAAAGCGGCUGGAGAUGAACAAUGGGCGAUCCGCAUCCAAGCUCCUAACCCUCGCGAGAGGUACGGAGAAGGUUCAGAGACUAAAUGGGUGUGGGUCCCCUCCCGCGAGGGAGGGGGUCUAAGAUAUAGUCCGGCCACCGCUGAAAGGCGGUGGGGUCAGGCACUCCUUGACAUACAAACGGGAGCCUGCGGCUUAAUUUGACUCAACACGGGGAAACUCACCAGGUCCAGACACAGUGAGGAUUGACAGAUUGAGAGCUCUUUCUUGAUUUUGUGGGUGGUGGUGCAUGGCCGUUCUUAGUUGGUGGAGUGAUUUGUCUGCUUAAUUGCGAUAACGAACGAGACCUUAACCUGCUAAAUAGCCAGGCCAGCUUUGGCUGGUCGCCGGCUUCUUAGAGGGACUAUCGGCUCAAGCCGAUGGAAGUUU